rnacentral:rRNA from 1 species
CUAAUACAUGCAAGUCGAACGCUUUGUGGUUCAACUGAUUUGAAGAGCUUGCUCAGAUAUGACGAUGGACAUUGCAAAGAGUGGCGAACGGGUGAGUAACACGUGGGAAACCUACCUCUUAGCAGGGGAUAACAUUUGGAAACAGAUGCUAAUACCGUAUAACAAUGACAACCGCAUGGUUGUUAUUUAAAAGAUGGUUCUGCUAUCACUAAGAGAUGGUCCCGCGGUGCAUUAGCUAGUUGGUAAGGUAAUGGCUUACCAAGGCGAUGAUGCAUAGCCGAGUUGAGAGACUGAUCGGCCACAAUGGGACUGAGACACGGCCCAUACUCCUACGGGAGGCAGCAGUAGGGAAUCUUCCACAAUGGGCGAAAGCCUGAUGGAGCAACGCCGCGUGUGUGAUGAAGGGUUUCGGCUCGUAAAACACUGUUGUAAGAGAAGAAUGACAUUGAGAGUAACUGUUCAAUGUGUGACGGUAUCUUACCAGAAAGGAACGGCUAAAUACGUGCCAGCAGCCGCGGUAAUACGUAUGUUCCAAGCGUUAUCCGGAUUUAUUGGGCGUAAAGCGAGCGCAGACGGUUAUUUAAGUCUGAAGUGAAAGCCCUCAGCUCAACUGAGGAAUUGCUUUGGAAACUGGAUGACUUGAGUGCAGUAGAGGAAAGUGGAACUCCAUGUGUAGCGGUGAAAUGCGUAGAUAUAUGGAAGAACACCAGUGGCGAAGGCGGCUUUCUGGACUGUAACUGACGUUGAGGCUCGAAAGUGUGGGUAGCAAACAGGAUUAGAUACCCUGGUAGUCCACACCGUAAACGAUGAGUGCUAGGUGUUUGAGGGUUUCCGCCCUUAAGUGCCGCAGCUAACGCAUAAGCACUCCG